UAGGGAAUCUUCGGCAAUGGGGGCAACCCUGACCGAGCAACGCCGCGUGAGUGAAGAAGGUUUUCGGAUCGUAAAGCUCUGUUGUAAGAGAAGAACGUGUGUGAGAGUGGAAAGUUCACACAGUGACGGUAACUUACCAGAAAGGGACGGCUAACUACGUGCCAGCAGCCGCGGUAAUACGUAGGUCCCGAGCGUUGUCCGGAUUUAUUUGGCGUAAAGCGAGCGCAGGCGGUUUAAUAAGUCUGAAGUUAAAGGCAGUGGCUUAACCAUUGUUCGCUUUGGAAACUGUUAAGCUUGAGUGCAGAAGGGGAGAGUGGAAUUCCAUGUGUAGCGGUGAAAUGCGUAGAUAUAUGGAGGAACACCGGUGGCGAAAGCGGCUCUCUGGUCUGUAACUGACGCUGAGGCUCGAAAGCGUGGGGAGCAAACAGG
rnacentral:rRNA from 1 species